ensembl:lncRNA
GGGAAAGGCAACGGUGUCUAGAGCUGUUCGUACAGUAUGCAUGGCACUGAAACAGUUUCUACACACUUUUGUACAGUUCCCUGGCCAUAAACCUGUGCGCUUUAUUAAAGAAUUCCACAGGGUGGCAGGUUUGCUCUCAGAAAUUCUGUCAUCUACUUCAAUUAAAUGAUAUUUCUUAAUAGGUUUAUUUUGACUGCACACACACACAUAUAAAGGCUACACAGACUUCUUAAACUUGUAAUUGAUCAUAAUUUCAGGGUUCCCAAACGUGAUUGGGUGCAUUGAUGGCACCCACAUUCCUAUUAAAGCUCCAUCUAUCAAUGAGGGAGACUAUGUUAAUAGGAAGUCUGUGCAUAGCAUCAAUGUGCAGGUAAUAGCUAUAUUUUGGCUCCUUAAUAUUGGUGUUACAAAUAAUAAACUUAUUGUUCUCCACAGGUAAUAUGUGAUGCAACCCACCUCAUCACUAAUUUUGAGGCAAAAUGGCCUGGGUCUGUACAUGAUGCCAGAAUAUUUUGAGAGUCAUCUCUGUGCAACAAAUUUCAACAGGUUACGUUUUGUUAGACAAAUGCUUGUAGUCUUUAUUACAUUUACAAAACACUUCAAACAUUACAGGACACUUCUAUGGUUACUUGCUGGGGGACAGACCUGUCUCACAGCAGAACACGGGCCAAGGUGGAGAUGACAAUAGGCAUUCUGAAGGCGAGGUUUCAGUGUCUGCGUGGGCUCAGGUUCACUCCAAAUAGGGCAUGUGACAUCACAGUUGCUUGUGUGGUACUUCACAACAUUGCCACAAUGAGAGGAGAAAGGCAUCCACCCUGUCCUGAUGAAGAUGACCUAGAACAACACCCAUUGAAUCUAGCAUUUACAUUUACAUUUAAUCAUUUAGCAGACGCUUUGUAUCCAAAGGGACUUACAAAUGAGAACAAUAGACGCAAUCAGAUCAACAAGAGAACAACAACGGUAUACAAGUGCCAUGACAAGUCUCGGUUAGUCUAGUACAGAACACGUAGCCAGGGUUUUUUUUUUUUUUUUUUUUUAAAGAAUAUGAUAGACAAGAAAAGAAAAGGUAAGUACUAGUAUUAGUUGGUUAAGUGCUGGCAAAAACCACAGAGAUGGCAGAAUGCUUAGAGACAUUAUUUGUCAAAAUCACUUUACGUUUACUAUAUCGUUGGAAAGGUCUAAGACUCCUAAAUAGAUAUUUUACAAAUGUUUUUUUGUUAAAAAUUAUGUAGGAAAAGUAAUAGAUUAAUUUAUGACAAGAGUGCACCCUCAAAAAUCUACAUCAUAACAGGAGUUCUGACCUUGUCAAAAAAAAAGUCUUCUUUGUUGCCUUUUUCUGUCACACUUUAGAAAUAAUCUGAAAUUAUAUAUCAACUGAAAACUUAAUCUCAAAAUUCAUCCUUUAAAACCCAUUUUUAAAUCAGACAUUGCAUUACCAUCAAUAUCAUUUUAUAAAUACCAAUAAUGGUACAUCAAUAUCAUUUUAUAAAAUGUUUUUGUUCAUGAAUUAA